CAGUUUAUAAGGAUCAGUAGUGGGUCUACUCUGGACAGUUAAUGAGGAUCAGUGGUGGGUCAACUCUCUCCAGUUAAUAAGGGUCAGUAGUGGGUCUACUCUGGACAGUUAAUGAGGAUCAGUAGUGGGUCUACUCUGGACAGUGUAUAAGGAUCAGUAGUGGGUCUACUCUGGACAGUUGAUAAGGAUCAGUAGUGGGUCUACUCUGGACAGUUGAUAAGGAUCAGUAGUGGGUCUACUCUGGACAGUUGACAAGGGUCAGUAGUGCGUCUACUCUCCACAGUUAAUAAGGAUCAGUAGUGGGGAGUCUCGUCCAUGGUGGACAGGCAGGGAGAGUCAGGCAGGGAGAGUCAGGCAGGAGAGUCAGGCAGGGAGAGUCAGGCAGGGAGAGUCAGUCAGGGAGAGUCAGGCAGGGAGAGUCUCGUCCAUGGUGGACAGGCAGGGAGAGUCUCGUCCAUGGUGGACAGGCAGGGGAAGUCUCGUCCAUGGUGGACAGGCAGGGAGUCUCGUCCAUGGUGGUCAGGAGGGAGAGUCUCGUCCAUGGUGGUCAGGCAGGGAGAUUCAGGCAGGGAGAGUCUCGUCCAUGGUGGACAGGCAGGGGAGUCUCGUCCAUGGUGGUCAGGUAGGGAGAGUCUCGUCCAUGGUGGUCAGGCAGGGAGAUUCAGGCAGGGAGAGUCUCGUCCAUGGUGGACAGGCAGGGAGAGUCUCGUCCAUGGUGGACAGGCAGGGAGAGUCUCGUACAUGGUGGACAGGCAGGGAGAGUCUCGUACAUGGUGGACAGGCAGGGAGAGUCUCGUCCAUGGUGGACAGGCAGGGAGAGUCUCGUCCAUGGUGGACAGGCAGGGAGAGUCUCGUCCAUGGUGGACAGGCAGGGAGAGUCUCGUCCAUGGUGGACAGGCAGGGAGAGUCUCGUACAUGGUGGACAGGCAGGGAGAGUCUCGUACAUGGUGGACAGGCAGGGAGAGUCUCGUACA
ensembl:lncRNA